UACAGAGGGUGCGAGCGUUGUUCGGAAUUAUUGGGCGUAAAGGGCGCGUAGGCGGUGCGGUAAGUCACCUGUGAAAUCUCCUGGCUCAACUGGGAGCUUGCAGGCGAAACUACCGUGCUGGAGUGUGGGAGAGGUGCGUGGAAUUCCUGGUGUAGCGGUGAAAUGCGUAGAUAUCAGGAGGAACACCUGUGGCGAAAGCGGCGCACUGGACCACAACUGACGCUGAGGCGCGAAAGCUAGGGGAGCAAACAGG
rnacentral:rRNA from 1 species